UCAAAAUCUAAAAUAAAAAUAAAAAUCAUCCCACGCUUUCUAAUAAUAGUCUAAUCAUAUAAUUCUAUUUUUUAAUAAAAUAAAUAACAUUAAGCGAAAAUAAUAAAAUCAUCGAUCCUAUUAAAGAUAGCACUUUUAAGUUAUACUAUAUUAUCUAUAAGGAUAUUUACAUUAAAUAAUCAAUGUCACACAAUUGCAACAAUCAAAUUUAAAUAAAAAAUUACAAAAAUCAAAUGAAUUUUUUUUAGGUUUUCCUUCUAAUUAAGUGCUCAUUACAUUUCUUUCCCACGAAAUAUAGUUAUUAUUACGGGAUUUUUAUCAAAAUAUUACAAACAAAAAAAAUACCAAAAUAUUAUAUAAUUUUUAUUCUUUACCAAAAUAAUACAAAAAACAGAAAAAAAAGCUGCGAUUGACGUGACAACACAGGGGAGAAGGGGGUGCCAUAGGCGACACCAGUUGUGCCCCUGUCAGAGGCAGCACCGAUGGUGCCCCUCCCACAGGCGGCAGUGCCUAUUUAUGGGGUCAUUCAGCUGGUGGGUGGGGGGAAGAGAAGGAGAAGGAAAGAAGAAGAAAGAAAGAAAGAAAAGGAAAGGAGAGGAAAGAAAGAAAAAGAAGGAAAGAAAAGGAAAUGGGAAGAAAAAAGAAAGAAAAAGAAGGAAAGAAAAGGAAAGGAGAAGAAAAAAAAAGAAAGAAGAAGACGGAAGGAAGGAAAAAGAAAAAGAAAAAGAAAAAGAAGGUAAUUUUUGUUUUAUUAAUUUAAUUUUUUUGGUAAUAUUUGUGUAAAAAAUUUAUGUUAUGUAUAUGUGUUUUAUUCUUUUAUUUAGCAUAUAUUUAUUAUGAAAUUUAUUUAGCAUGAAAAAAUCCAUGUUAUGUACAUUGUAUGUUGAUUAGGAAUUUUUUUUUAUGAAAUUUAUUUAGGAUGUUGUAAUUAGUUUUUUUAGAAAAAUAGCAUUAAAAAUAAAAUGAUAAAAAAAUAUGUUUAAGAAAACAUAAAAUACGAAAAGAAAAAAAACGGAAAUUGUAUAUUCACCAAUAGUAAAAAAAUUCGAAAAAUGGUAUAUUUAAAAAACACACUAAAUUAAUAAAUUUCAACCAUAAUGUACUAAAAUAAUGUAAAAUAAUAAAAUUAUAAAUUAUGAUAUUUUUUAAAGUAAUAAAAAGCGGAGAAAAAAAUACGAACAAAUGGCCGAAGUAAGAGUGUUUUACUAAAUUUUUUAAAAAUUCAGAAAUAAUUAAUACAAAUAUUUCAAACAAAAUAUACUGAAAUAAUAUAAAAUAAUAAAAUACGAAAAUAAUAUAUUUUUCUUAAAAGUAAUAAAAUUCGGGAAAAUAAUACGAGCAAAGGGCAGGAAUAAAGGGUUUUUUUACACUAAAUUAAUUUAAAAACACACUAAAUUAAUAAAAUUCAAACAUAAUGCACUGAAAUAAUAUAAAAUUAUAAAAUUAGAAAUUAUGAUAUUUUUUAAAGUAAUAAAAAGCGGAGAAAAAAAUACGAACAAAGGCCGAAGUAAUAGUCUUUUACUAAAUUUUUUAAAAAUUUUGAAAUAAUUAAUACAAAUAUUUCAAACAAAAUGUACUAAAAUAAUAUAAAAUAAUAAAAUACGAAAAUAAUAUAUUUUUAUUGAAAGUAAUAAAAUUCAGGAAAAUAAUACGAGCAAAGGGCAGGAAUAAGGGUUUUUUUACACUAAAUUAACUUUAAAAACACACUAAAUUAAUAAAAUUCAAACAUAAUGCACUGAAAUAAUGUAAAAUUAGAAAAUUAGAAAAUAUGAUAUUUUUUAAAGUAAUAAAAUGAGGAGAAAAAAAUACGAAAAAAGGGUCGAAGUAAGAGUCUUUUACUAAAUUUUUUAAAAAUUCGGGAAAAUAGUACAAAUAAAUGGCUGAAAUGAGAGUUUUUUACUAACGUUUUUUUGAAUUUGCAGGCAUCGCAAUGGCUCCAUUGAUUCAACUCGGUAGAUGCAUAUCUGAUGCGGCUAAUAACGCGG
rnacentral:lncRNA from 1 species